rnacentral:rRNA from 1 species
CGGUAAUUCCAGCUCCAAUAGCGUAUACUAAAGUUGUUGCAGUUAAAAAGCUCGUAGUUGGAUUUCUGCGGGGACGGAGCGGCCGGACGCAACUUGCGUCUCGAGCUAGCGCUUUCCCCGCAUCCUGCCGCGAACCGUGCUACCAUUAGUUUGGUGGCGCUGGGGAUCGGCUCGAUUACUUUGAGAAAAAUAGAGUGUUCAAAGCAGGCCACACGCCUUGAAUAAGUUAGCAUGGAAUAAUGACUAAGGACUUCGGUUCUAUUUUGUUGGUGUUCGGGACUGAAGUAAUGAUUGAUAGGGACAGUUGGGGCGGUCUGUAUUCCAAAGCGAGAGGUGAAAUUCUUAGACCUUCGGAAGACAAACAGCUGCGAAAGCGUUCCGCAAGGAUGUUCCCUUUGAUCAAGAACGAAAGUUGGGGGAUCGAAGACGAUCAGAUACCGUCGUAGUCUCAACUAUCAACUAUACCAGCUAGGGAUCGGCCAACGUUUAAUUAUUCGACUUGGUCGGCACCUUAUGAGAAAUCAAAGCAUCUGGGUUCCGGAGGGAGUAUGGUCGCAAGGCUGAAACUUAAAGGAAUUGACGGAAGGGCACCACCAGCCGUGGAGCCUGUGGCUUAAUUUGACUCAACACGGGAAAACUUACCAGGUCCAGACAUAGGAAGGAUUGACAGAUUGAUAGCUCUUUCUUGAUUCUGUGGGUGGUGGUGCAUGGCCGUUUUUAGUUGGUGGAGUGAUUUGUCUGCUUAAUUGCGUUAACGAACGAGACCCCAGCCUGCUAAAUAGCGCGGCCGAGCUUUGCUCGGUGCGAGCUUCUUAGAGGGACCAUGAUGCGCGAUAGCACAAGGAAGUUUGGGGCAACAACAGGUCUGUGAUGCCCUUAGAUGUUCUGGGCCGCACACGGGCUACACUGGCGCCUGCAACGAGCAUAUCAGCUGGCCCGAGAGGGUCUUGGCUAAUCUUUUGAACCGGCGCCGUGCUUGGGAUUGACCUUUGCAAUUGUUGGUCAUGCAACGAGGAAUGCCUUGUAAACGCGAGUCAUCAGCUCGCAUUGAAUACGUCCCUGCCCUUUGUACACACCGCCCGUCGCUCCUACCGAUGAAUGUUCCGAUGAAAUUUUCGGAGAGCGCCAGAGAACGGGGCUCUGCCUUGCAGAUCUGGAGGCUCAAAGUCACUUAAAUCUGAACAUUUCGAGGAAGGAGAAGUCGUAACAAGGUAGCC